GAGUUUGAUCCUGGCUCAGAACGAACGCUGGCGGCGUGGUUGAUACAUGCAAGUCGAACGGGAAACGGGGCUUCGGCUCCGGAGUACAGUGGCGGACGGGUGAGUAACGUAUGAUCAAUCUGCCCUGAAGUUCGGGAUAGCCAUCCGAAAGGAUGGGUAAUACCGAAUAAGCCCAUAGGGAGGCAUCUCCCCGCGGGAAAACGAUUGGGAUCUUCGGACCUUUCGCUUCAGGAUGAGAUCAUAACCUAUCAGUUAGUUGGCGGGGUAACGGCCCACCAAGACGACGACGGGUAGCCGGCCUGAGAGGGUGGACGGCCACACUGGAACUGAGACACGGUCCAGACUCCUACGGGAGGCAGCAGUGCUGAAUUAUUCGCCAAUGCGCGAAAGCGUGACGGUGCGACGCCGCGUGCGGGACGAAGGCCUUCGGGUUGUAAACCGCUGUCAGGGAUUAGAAAACCAAUAUGGUUAACAGCUGUAUUGUUGAUCAGUCCCAAAGGAAGCACAGGCUAAUCUCGUGCCAGCAGCCGCGGUAAUACGAGAUGUGCGAGCGUUGUUCGGAAUCACUGGGCAUAAAGGGUGCGUAGGCGGCGCGUCAAGUCGGGUGUGAAAUCCCUUCGCUUAACGGAGGAACUGCACUCGAUACUAGCGCGCUAGAGGGUCAAAGGGGCAAGCGGAAUUCUAGGUGUAGCGGUGGAAUGCGUAGAUAUCUGGGAGAACGCCAAGGGCGAAGGCAGCUUGCUGGGUGACAUCUGACGCUGAGGCACGAAAGCUAGGGGAGCAAACAGGAUUAGAUACCCUGGUAGUCCUAGCCGUAAACGAUGAGCGCUUUGUUCCGGGAAGCCUGAUCUUUCCGGAGCCGUAGCAAAUGUGUUAAGCGCUCCGCCUGGGGAGUAUGGUCGCAAGGCUAAAACUCAAAUGAAUUGAC
rnacentral:rRNA from 1 species